rnacentral:tRNA from 1 species
UUUUUCUAGUGGCCAAGGACACCGCCCUUUCACGGCAGUAACAGGGGUUCGAACCCCCUAGGGGACGCCA